rnacentral:tRNA from 1 species
GCCGGGGUGGCGAAAUCGGUAGACGCACGGGACUCAAAAUCCCGCGGUAGCAAUAUCGUGUCGGUUCGAGUCCGACCCCCGGCA